rnacentral:rRNA from 1 species
AGGACGAACGCUUGCGACGUGCCUAAGAAAUGCAAGUCGAACGGACAGCAGCAAUGCUGUUAGUGGCGAACGGUCGCGUAACACGUGGGCAACCUGCCCUGAAGCGGGGGGACAACAACUCGAAAGAGUUGCUAAUACCGCAUGUGAAUUGCUCUGGCAUCAGAGCGUAUUCAAAGCCGCAAGGCACUUCAGGAUGGGCCCGCGGCCUAUCAGCUAGUUGGUGAGGUAACGGCCCACCAAGGCUUCGACGGGUAGCUGGUCUGAGAGGACGAUCAGCCGGAUUGGGGACUGAGAUACGGCCCAGACUCCUACGGGGGGGCAGGCAAUUAGGAAUCUUGCGCAAUGGGCGAAAGCCUGACGCAGCGACGUCGCGUGAAGGAUGAAAUCUUUCGGGAUGUAACUUCUUUUUUUCGGGGAAGUAACAAAUGACGGUACCGAAGAAUAAGCCCGGCUAACUACGUGCCAGCAGCCGCGGUAA